CGGACGGGGGAGUAAUGUCUGGGAAACUGCCCGAUGGAGGGGGGUAACUACUGGAAACGGUAGCUAAUACCGCAUAACGUCGCAAGACCAAAGAGGGGGACCUUAGGGCCUCUUGCCAUCGGAUGUGCCCAGAUGGGAUUAGCUAGUAGGUGGGGUAAUGGCUCACCUAGGCGACGAUCCCUAGCUGGUCUGAGAGGAUGACCAGCCACACUGGAACUGAGACACGGUCCAG
rnacentral:rRNA from 1 species